rnacentral:rRNA from 1 species
UACGUAGGUGGCAAGCGUUGUCCGGAUUUAUUGGGUUUAAAGGGUGCGUAGGCGGUUUCCUAAGUCAGUUGUGAAAUACUUCAGCUUAACUGGAGAGGUGCAAUUGAUACUGGGAAACUUGAGUACUGAUGAGGUAUGCGGAAUGGACGGUGUAGCGGUGAAAUGCUUAGAUAUCGUCCAGAACACCGAUAGCGAAGGCAGCAUACUAAGGAGUAACUGACGCUGAGGCACGAAAGUGUGGGGAUCAAACAGG